CCUACGGGAGGCAGCAGUGGGGGAUAUUGCACAAUGGGGGGAACCCUGAUGCAGCGACGCCGCGUGGGUGAAGAAGCGCCUCGGCGCGUAAAGCCCUGUCAGCAGGGAAGAAAAUGACGGUACCUGAAGAAGAAGCCCCGGCUAACUACGAGCCAGCAGCCGCGGUACUACGUAGGGAGCAAGCGUGAUCCGGAUUUACUGGGUGUAAAGGGGGCGCAGACGGCGAUGCAAGCCAGGAGUGAAAGCCCGGGGCCCAACCCCGGGACUGCUCUUGGAACUGCGGGGCUGGAGUGCAGGAGGGGCAGGCGGAAUGCCUGGUGUAGCGGUGAAAUGCGUAGAUAUCAGGAGGAACACCGGUGGCGAAGGCGGCAUGCUGGACUGCAACUGACGUUGAGGCCCGAAAGCGUGGGGAGCAAACAGGAUUAGAUACCCGAGUAGUC
rnacentral:rRNA from 1 species